CCUACGGGGGGCAGCAGUGGGGAAUAUUGCACAAUGGGCGCAAGCCUGAUGCAGCCAUGCCGCGUGUGUGAAGAAGGCCUUCGGGUUGUAAAGCACUUUCAGCGGGGAGGAAGGCGGUGAGGUUAAUAACCUCAUCGAUUGACGUUACCCGCAGAAGAAGCACCGGCUAACUCCGUGCCAGCAGCCGCGGUAAUACGGAGGGUGCAAGCGUUAAUCGGAAUUACUGGGCGUAAAGCGCACGCAGGCGGUCUGUCAAGUCGGAUGUGAAAUCCCCGGGCUCAACCUGGGAACUGCAUUCGAAACGGGCAGGCUAGAGUCUUGUAGAGGGGGGUAGAAUUCCAGGUGUAGCGGUGAAAUGCGUAGAGAUCUGGAGGAAUACCGGUGGCGAAGGCGGCCCCCUGGACAAAGACUGACGCUCAGGUGCGAAAGCGUGGGGAGCAAACAGGAUUAGAUACCCGGGUAGUC
rnacentral:rRNA from 1 species